AAAAAGAAGAAAGACACAGGAGGAGAAGGAAAUGCAGACAAUCCCCAACAGAACUCCAUAAACAGUAAUCAUCCACAUGAAGAAGAAGAAGAAGAAGAAGAAGAAGAAGAAGAAGAAGAAGAAGAAGAAGAAGAAGAAGAGCUGGGUGGGAGUGUGAAAAUUGAACACAGAGACAGUUCAUCGGACACUGCAGAGGAAAGUUCCAGGUUCAAUGGAUGCUGACACAUUGUAAGUUGUACAGAAAUGAAUCAGUCCAAGGUGAAUUUUGGGGACUGUGCUCCAAAGUGAACAUCUGCUGAUCUGCAGCCUGCAUCACUAUCUUCCAGAGAUGUUACUGGACAGA